AACUCUUCUCUCUAUCUUCCCUCUCAAAACCCUAGCGCAGCCAUGUCUGAAAUGGAGGUUGCUUGAAGCGGAUUUUACGGCAGCGGAUAAACACUAAUCAAAUGAUUCUUCUUCCUCCGAUUAUACCUUAAUCAAAUGAUUUCUUCAUUCGCCUCUCCAAGCUCCAACCUUUUCAAAACACAAACACAAUUAGGGUUUCUUCUCCAUCUCUCUGCCGCUUCUCUAUUCUCCAUGGCUCUUAGAUGCUCCUCCGUCAAUGUGUGACCUAAAAGUAGAAACAUGCUCCUUUUUCAUCAUACAACAUCGCAAACCCUAAUUCUUCAAGCUGAGAUACUUUGUGUCAUAAUACAACAACGCAAACCCUAAUAUUACGGAUUUUCGAUGUGUUGGUGAUGAUGUUAGGGUGAAUACAACCAUCGGACGAUUGGAGUAUGUGAUGGUGGUCUUACAGCAGAUCUAGGGUUUAAUGGUGAUUCCAGGAGACGGCUAGGACUAGGCUUAUGGUGCGAGAUAGGAAGGGCGGCUCAUCAUGGAGGUGGUGUUGGCCAACAAGAUUUUGGUUGCAUCUUAUAUGGUGGAAAGAAGCAAACCGAUUGAAAAGGUUUUCCAGCAAAGCAUUUGGUUCCCUCAGCUCAAUUUAUACUCUCCUAUACUUUGUUAAAGUCACAUUUAGAUUAGCCAGCUUGAUCUAAGAGGUAUUUAAAUUUUUGCUUUAAAUGUCAUCCAGUUCCUUUUUAUUUGGCUUUAUAACUUUCAACCAUUUUUCUUUAAUCUUUUGAGGAUUGUUUAGAAUUGGAAGGGGUGAUAGGCAGGUUGGAUAACUGGCUUUGAUUAGCAAGUUUUACGCAGGUUAUUAUCUUUGGCUAUACUCUCUUUAAGCUCCGGUGUAUCUGGCUGCCAUUCUUGAAUAGGUCGCUGCUGAUGUAAGUUUGGUUGUUGUGUUUUCUAAUUUGGAGUGUGCUGGUUUUGAUUAGAUUUUGUAAAUUUACCCUCUUUUUCCCUUGAUUGUAAAAUAAAAGAUUGUUAUUAUUUUUUGGUUUAAAGUUGUUUUUGGUUAGAUUUUUUGUAAUAUAUUGUCAAACGAUGGGUGUAUUGAUUUCUUAUCCAAGUAGCUUCCCGUAGUGCAAUGUUUUGAGUUGAUGAAACUGGUAAUUUUGCACCAUGUACAUACAUAUUAAUUAAAGUUUUGUUUGAUACCCAAUUUAUUUUUUUUGCUAAAGUUUGUUACAUUUGUGGUUUCGCUUUCGUUAGCACAUAAAACUGAUUUAGAGUAUCCGUGGAAGGGAAGAAGGUGUGGUAGUACUCUGGCGGUGGAAGCGGUGCUGGCGUGAAAGUUUACAGGGUCCGGUACUACGGAGUGGCCGUGGAUGAAGCCGUUGAGGGAUGGUUGAAGACUGACACAGUAGAUAUGGUUCAACGAAGGCACGCAGCAGGCCGUCACGCGACCUACAGACCGGACGACACCCGUGAGUGGCGAUGCGAUUUGGGUUGAAACUUUUGCGAAUUCAUGUCUGGAGUAAAUUCGUUCAUUUUCAAAGUUUCUCUCCGAGCUGGACUUCUUGCUUAGUUUUGCUGACCUGGCUGCUAGCAGCCCCACCCCGUAAACGAGAUCCGAUAUCACACCACGGAUACGUAAGAUAUUAUAUUGGAAGAAGUAGACACCCUUGUGUGGAAGCUCAAGAUUGGGUGAAUUUUAUACCAAACGACUGCAAACUUUAGGUGAGGGGAAAGAGUUGGUUUCAAAUUAUCACCGGGCCUAACAUGGGAGGAAAAUCCACAUUUAUACGCCAGGUUGAAGAAGAUAGAAUAUGGAGGUGGCAAGAUGGUCGGGUUGAAAACAGAAUGUCCAGGUCGGUUGAAGAAAUCUUUAACGAUUUGUGAUUUUUUCUCAUUCAUGUAUUUCAAUUAUUUAGUGUACUCUAAUAUUUGCAUUAGUAGUUUAACAUUUAUAUAAUUAAAAUAUUUGUGUCAAAUUUUAGGCAAGUGUUUUGUUUUAA